CUCAUCUCUGAACUCUCUAUUCAUAUAUUUUGCCUAUUUUCAAUUGCAUUUUAUCAGUUUGCAAAAACACUUUGUAUAUUAUGACUUUUUAUCUGUCACAGGUGUGGAAAUAUUUUCCUCAAUGUUUUGUCUGUAUGACUUUCAUCAAACUAAUUUUAAAGUAUUUAUGUAGUCAAAUAUGUCUAUUACUUCUUUUAUAGUUUCUGAGUUUCCACUUUUUUUUUUUUUAAGAUUUUAUUUUUUCCUUUUUCUCCCCAAAGCCCCCCGGUACAUAGUUGUGUAUUCUUCGUUGUGGGUUCUUCUAGUUGUGGCAUGUGGGACGCUGCCUCAGCGUGGUCUGAUGAGCAGUGCCAUGUCCGCGCCCAGGAUUCGAACUAACGAAACACUGGGCUGCCUGCUGUGGAGUGCGCGAACUUAACCACUCGGCCACGGGGCCAGCCCCUCUGAGUUUCCACUUUUGGUUAGAAAAAUCUGCCCUACACCACAGGCGGUAUACGUUGGCUCCUAAAUUUUCUUCCAAGAUUUUUAACGUUUUAAUUUUUACAUUCAGUUUUUUAAAUCCAUCUGACAUUUAUUUUUGUACAUAGAGCUAUUUUAUUUUCUUCUGGUAGAUUGCCACUUAUGUUAGUAACACUUACAAAAUAAUGCAUCCUUUUCCCACUGAACUAAAAUUCCUCUUCUGUCAUAUAUUAAAAUUUUCUGUGGAUUCUUUGCUCUAUUUCUGGGCUUAAAUUUUUUUUUUACCUCUUUUAUUGUGAAAUACUACAUAAAUAUGGAAAACAUAUUUACAGUUUAAUAAUUUAUAGCAAAUAUCCACGUAACUACCUCCAGAUCAAGAAAUAGAACAUUGCCAGCACCUCAGAAGGUCCCCAUGUUCUCUUCCCUGAUUAUCUCCUUUCUCUCAGAGUUGAGGAAAGCAAUGCUCAAAAAGGAAAUUGACUUGCUUAAGAUGGCUCAGCUAGUAAGAUGGUGAGAUUUGGAUUCAAAACCAGUCUACGUGAUUACAAAUCUAAUGCCCUCUCUACACUUCAAGGAAUAUCC
rnacentral:lncRNA from 1 species